rnacentral:rRNA from 1 species
CAGCAGCCGCGGUAAUACGAAGGGGGCUGGCGUUGUUCGGAAUUACUGGGCGUAAAGCGCACGUAGGCGGAUAUUUAAGUCAGGGGUGAAAUCCCGGGGCUCAACCCCGGAACUGCCUUUGAUACUGGGUAUCUUGAGUUCGAGAGAGGUGAGUGGAAUUCCGAGUGUAGAGGUGAAAUUCGUAGAUAUUCGGAGGAACACCAGUGGCGAAGGCGGCUCACUGGCUCGAUACUGACGCUGAGGUGCGAAAGCGUGGGGAGCAAACAGGAUUAGAUACCCCCGUAGUCCCUGUCUCUUAUAC